AAUUCUCAACCUUAUCAGUUUAUUUCUGAUAGUGGCUUGGAUGUGGGGGGUUUCUUGCUGGCUGACGUCGGCUCCCCUUAAAUGGAUUAGCUGGUGCCCCGUGUGGACUGUCUAUUGGUGUGAUAAUUAUCUACGCCAUGGAUGUCUUAGCACUGCUUCUAACCGUCUGUUAAUUCGGACAAUACAUGACAA
rnacentral:misc_RNA from 1 species